ensembl:antisense 9230114J08Rik RIKEN cDNA 9230114J08 gene
CUCUUGGAGAAAGCCAGCUGAUGUGGAGAUUGGCUUCCAUGUUGAAGGCUGGUGCACCCUUGCCUCUCUGCUGUUGAAGUGAGACUCUUUAGACAGUGGGUGGAACAAGAGGUUUACAUGAAGCAUCUUCAGGAAGGCAUGAGGGUGGAUGUGUGUCACCAGCUUGUCCUCAGUUCUACCCAUCGUGAAUGCUGGAAACAGAAGCAGUGUUUUGCGUCUGUCUCUACCUACCUGGAUGAUAAGAAGUCUGGGCUUGAACCGCUGCAGCUGGACCCAGCAAGCACUGCACAGGGGUGGGGUUAGGGAAACUGGUGCUCCUGGGAAAUAUAGGAGACUGAGCCCAAAGGACC